GAAAUGAAAGCUGGCAAUAAAACAAACAAAAUGUGUAUGUGUGUAUGUGAUAUACAGAACAAACAUUAUAUAGAUCAGGACAUGGUGUUAACCAAUCAAUAACAACAUCUGGUGAAGUGAAGUUGAUUAUUGGUCAGGCUUGUUACAUGUAGCUUUUAUAAAUAGAACUGAAAGUAUCUUGUUACCAGCCUAAGUCUAAAGCAGCAGACACAUGGUCCUUGACCUUCUCAACAUAGAACAUUAGUUCUGGCAUACAAUUAGUGUAUGCAGCUGGCACACUCAUGGGUCAAACAAUAACAAAAAGAAGCUAAAACACUUAAAUGGAAUUUGUUACUGAAGGUUUAAGAGAAACCAGGAAAGAAAAAUCUAGUAGUCCUUAUCAAAGGGAGGUAGCUGAGGAUAAAACAGUUGGUAAUAUCUGGGAUGUUUAAACUUCCUAGCCAUGAAAUGUACUAACAAGUAGUCAAUUAUACAAACAAGACAUGGUCUCUUUCAUUUAAUAUUUACUAAGUCAUUUUACUCAAAUACUUAACUGGGAAAAUAAAUCAAGAAAUGAAUUGUUGUUUGCUGAACCACAUUUUAAAUUGGCAAAUAAGGCAUUUUUAACAUGAGAAGGAAAAUAACCCAUUGGAUGAUACAGCUGAGACUAUCAAAUUCUUUGUGAUGCUUGUAGAUAUCCUUAAUAAUUUACAUUAUAAUAAUUUCGUAUUCCUUAUGCUAGGACAACUUUGUACAAAAGCUCUUUCUUCCCUAGUGCCAUUAAAGAAAAGAAUGGGUUGCCCAAAUCUACCAGGAAAACCAACAACUUCGUAGAGUUUAAAGUCACUGAUUAACAUGUAUGACUAGAUUGACACAUGAAAUGAAUAGGAUGUAAAUAUAUUCUUUUUUGAAGUAAAGUCUGUAAAAUGAUGAAUUUUUUCACCCAGCUUGAAUGAAUACCUGACAUUAGUUAGAGUAAAUCCAUGACAGUCUAAUUGAAGGUAACUGAAAUAUACCAUUUACCUUUA